UGAUCAGAAAGAAUAUUUCAUCGGAGUGUAACUGAACUUGUCUGGACUUAUGUUGUUCUAAGUGUGUAUUGCCUUCUUUGUUCAAUCAAUAGUCAUUAUUCCAAUGCUUUUAUUACUUUAAAAGUUUAAGAAUAGUUAUAAGGUAAUUAUUAUUAUUUACCCCCUUUCUAUAUAUUUAUCUACAAAAAUACAUACAAAAUGAAAUUAAUAUAACUAUUUUUUUCAUUUUAGAUGAAAUGCCCAUUGAACUGGUCAAAAACAAACCAGGGCCCGGAUUCACAAAGGGUGUCAUUAUAUAUGAUGUCGUUCACUAACGACAUUGUUAAAUUUGACAUCUUAACGAUUUGUCGUAAAUGCUAUUCACAAAACGUAUCGUUACCUACUUGGCAAUUAGCGACAAAAUUAUGGGUGUCUUGUUUCGAGAGUGUGGAAAUGACUUCAAUGUUUCCAUGAAUGUAACCAAUAAGAAAAUAAGCUUGCUUGUGAGUAAAAAUGGAGGAGGAGAGUAAAAGCAAACAAUUAUCAAACA
rnacentral:lncRNA from 1 species